rnacentral:rRNA from 1 species
UUUGAUCCUGGCUCAGAACGAACGCUGGCGGCGUGGAUAAGACAUGCAAGUCGAACGAGACUUUUCGUUGUAGCAAUACGAUGAAAAGUUUAGUGGCGAACGGGUGCUUAACACGUGGGCAACCUGCCAGGAAGUGGGGGAUAGCUCGCCGAAAGGCGAAUUAAUACCGCAUGUGAUUAGAGAGGACAUCCUUUCGAAAUUAAAGUCGGGGCAACCUGACGCUUCUUGUGGGGCCCGCGGCCUAUCAGCUAGUUGGUGAGGUAACGGCCCACCAAGGCUUUGACGGGUAGCUGGUCUGAGAGGACGACCAGCCACACUGGGACUGAGACACGGCCCAGACACCUACGGGUGGCAGCAGUCGAGAAUUUUUGACAAUGGGGGAAACCCUGAUCGAGCG